AUUGAACGCUGGCGGCAGGCUUAACACAUGCAAGUCGAGCGGUAACAGAGAGAAGCUUGCUUCUCUGCUGACGAGCGGCGGACGGGUGAGUAAUGCCUAGGAAUCUGCCUAGUAGUGGGGGAUAACUUGCCGAAAGGUAAGCUAAUAGCGCAUACGCCCUACGGGAGAAAGGAGGGGACCUUCGGGCCUUUCGCUAUUAGAUGAGCAUAGGUCGGAUUAGUUGGUGAGGUAAUGGCUCACCAAGACCGCGAUCCGUAACUGGUCUGAGAGGAUGAUCAGUCACACUGGAACUGAGACACGGUCCAGACUCCUACGGGAGGCAGCAGUGGGGAAGAUUGGACAAUGGGGGGAACCCUGAUCCAGCCAUGCCGCGUGGGUGAAGAAGGUCUUAGGAUUGUAAAGCACUUUAAGUUGGGAGGAAGAGCAGUUAACUAAUAUUUGACUGUUUUGACGUUACCGACAGAAUAAGCACCGGCUAACUUCGUGCCAGCCGCCGCCGUAA
rnacentral:rRNA from 1 species